AACAAACGCUGGCGGCGUGCCUAACACAUGCAAGUCGUACGAGAAAAUUCGCUUCGGCGAGUAAGUAAAGUGGCGCACGGGUGAGUAACGCGUGGAUAAUCUACCCUUUAGCUGGGGAUAACUCAUCGAAAGGUGGGCUAAUACCCGAUAAUACUGCUUCUACUGCGGUUGAGCAGUCAAAGGUAGCCUCUGUUUACAAGCUUCCACUGAAGGAUGAGUCCGCGUACCAUUAGCUAGUUGGUAGGGUAAUGGCCGACCAAGGUGAGGAUGGUUAGCUGGUCUGAGAGGAUUAUCAGCCAAACAGGAACUGAGACACGGUCCAGAAUCCUACGGGAUGCAGCAGUGAGGAAUCUUGCGCAAUGGUGGAAACCCUGACGCAGCAACGCCGCGUGAGUGAGGAAGGUUUUCGGAUCGUAAAGCUCUGUCAGGUGGGAAGAAAUGUAUAGGGGUUAACAGCCCUUAUUCUUUACGGUACCACCAGAGGAAGCACCGGCCAACUCCGUGCCAGCAGCCGCCGCCGUAA
rnacentral:rRNA from 1 species